GAUAAUGAGAUCGAUUCACCUUUAAACACAUAUCCUAAAUAAUCCCGGUCAUAGGUUACUCGAGAGGGACAUCGUGAUAACUAGAUAGACUGGUGUGCUGUAUACCCGUCCAUAUGAUGGAUGCAGCUGGUCUCAUAGCUGCUCGUGUAGGGACACUAGGGAUACAGUACAGGUGCUCAUUGGAGAAUGAGUUCACUGAUUGAUCCGCUUACGGAAUGCUGGAUGGUUGAUGAUGCCUUAUUGUCAGACAUCGAUUCCGUAGUCCUAGUGGUGUAUCUGGUCCUUAGACUUGAGACACCAAGGAUGUCCUAUAUGAGUGCUCCACUCUUUGAUACCAGACUUAUAGGUUUG
rnacentral:lncRNA from 1 species